GUCACAAGGAUCCGACGGCUGGGACUC
rnacentral:sRNA from 1 species